rnacentral:lncRNA from 1 species
GGACAAGAGGAUUAAUGAUCAGAAAUUGUCUCUCUUACGAGAUCCUGAAGGAGGCAAUGAUUUUGACAAAGAAAAAACUAAGAUUAGGAAUGAUAAUGAAGCUGUGAAACAUGAGAGGCAGGCAAGAUCUGAUCUGCCAAGGCAAGAAUCCCAUCGUAACUCUCGUGAGCAGACAAGAUCUGAUAUACCAAGGCAUGAAUCCCAUCGUAACUCUCGUGAGCAGACAAGAUCUGAUAUACCAAGGCAUGAAUCCCAUCGUAACUCUCGUGAGCAGACAAGAUCUGAUAUACCAAGGCAUGAAUCCCAUCGUAACUCUCGUGAGCAGACAAGAUCUGAUAUACCAAGGCAUGAAUCCCAUCGUAACUCUCGUGAGCAGACAAGAUCUGAUAUACCAAGGCAUGAAUCCCAUCGUAACUCUCGUGAGCAGACAAGAUCUGAUAUACCAAGGCAUGAAUCCCAUCGUAACUCUCGUGAGCAGACAAGAUCUGAUAUACCAAGGCAUGAAUCCCAUCGUAACUCUCGUGAGCAGACAAGAUCUGAUAUACCAAGGCAUGAAUCCCAUCGUAACUCUCGUGAGCAGACAAGAUCUGAUAUACCAAGGCAUGAAUCCCAUCGUAACUCUCGUGAGCAGACAAGAUCUGAUAUACCAAGGCAUGAAUCCCAUCGUAACUCUCGUGAGCAGACAAGAUCUGAUAUACCAAGGGACGAAUCCCAUCGUAACUCUCGUGAGCAGACAAGAUCUGAUAUACCAAGGGACGAAUCCCAUCGUAACUCUCGUGAGCAGACAAGAUCUGAUAUACCUAGGGACGAAUCCCAUCGUAACUCUCGUGAGCAG